UUUCCGUAGGUGAACCUGCGGAAGGAACAUUCAUAAUAAAGUGUUUUAUGGCACUUUUUAAAAAUCCAUAUCCACCUUGUGUGCAAUGUUAGAUCUCGUCAAUCUUGGCGAGAUUUUUAUACAUCAACUCAUUCUUUAACUAAUUUGUCUGAAAAAUAUUAUGAAUACUUAAUUCAAAAUACAACUUUCAACAACGGAUCUCUUGGCUCUC
rnacentral:misc_RNA from 1 species